rnacentral:rRNA from 1 species
AGUGAACGCUGGCGGUAGGCCUAACACAUGCAAGUCGAACGGCAGCACAGUAAGAGCUUGCUCUUACGGGUGGCGAGUGGCGGACGGGUGAGGCAUACAUCGGAAUCUACUUUUUCGUGGGGGAUAACGUAGGGAAACUUACGCUAAUACCGCAUACGUCCUACGGGUGAAAGCAGGGGAUCUUCGGACCUUGCGCGAUUGAAUGAGCCGAUGUCGGAUUAGCUAGUUGGCGGGGUAAAGGCCCACCAAGGCGACGAUCCGUAGCUGGUCUGAGAGGAUGAUCAGCCACACGGGAACUGAGACACGGUCCAGACUCCUACGGGAGGCAGCAGUGGGGAAUAUUGGACAAUGGGCGCAAGCCUGAUCCAGCCAUACCGCGUGGGUGAAGAAGGCCUUCGGGUUGUAAAGCCCUUUUGUUGGGAAAGAAAAGCAGCAGGUUAAUACCCCGCUGUUCUGACGGUACCCAAAGAAUAAGCACCGGCUAACUUCGUG